UCUGAAGUUUAAUUUGGUACCAAAAUCAUUUUUCGGAAACGCCAUUUACCCGGUCGCAUUUAUUUCUGAAAAUUGCAAUUUUCGGAAAAUCCAAAGGUCACGCACGUUUCAGGCCGACCGCCAUUUUGAAAUUUAUGAUAACACAACACCGAUACAAAAUAUCGUUAAAAAUCAAUAAAUCUGUUCAUUAAAAAAACAGGAAAACGAUUAAAAAUGAAAUGAAUGUUAAAUCAUAACAUUUGGUCAGCUAUGACAGAGAUAUACCUAGGCCCAUUUUGUGAUUGUGAUGCACACAGUACUAUCACAAAGUUAUAGACUGGACGUAUCAAGAAAACAAUCAAACCAUUAUUAAACAGCAUUAUGAUUGAAAUAAAACCAUUUUGUCAAGACACCGGGGUUCAAAUAAAGUGAUUUGUUUAAUGUCUUUGUGCAUUCAAAUCAGUGUCAAUAAGACUGACAACUGGUACCCUGGCUUUGGAGAAAGUUGUGAAUGAUUCUACAGCGGUUGUCAAGUUCAUGACUCACUGUUGUAAGCUGGCCACUGAGAGAAGAUAAGCAAGUUAUAAACAUUUAGUUCGUGAUUGGCCAGAAAUUGGUGCCAGACUGUAUAAAUGCGGUUAGAUGAUGCCAUCAUGGUGAACAUAAGCACUUACAUACGGUAUUCAGCCAGUUCAGCAGUGACUUUUUCCGUUAACGUUAACCACACUACCAGUAGAAGUUGAAUUCAAAACUGACAUUUUUCAUUUCACUUUUAAUUAGUUCAAUGACACUCUUGGGUCUAGUAAAUAUGUAUCAUAGUUUUUAUGAGCAACUUGAAAUGAAUAAUUGCAGGUGGAAAUAAUUCUUUAUCAAGAGUAAAACUAUUUAAAUUAAUGGUAGAUAAUUUUAGCAAGUCGUAGCAGUCUAAUAGUGAAAAAAUAUUCAACAGAAAAAUAUGAAAUCAAUAUUAUUUGAAAAUAUUAUAUUUUAUUUAUAAACUUGUUCUAUGUAUAAUAAAUGUAUCUACACUGUCUUGUUCUGUAGUAAUAUUUAAAUAAAUCUGUUAAAGUGAUCAUGAAAAUGUAUGUGUAAGUGACAACUGAAAUUAUUUGAAAAUAAUGUAAAAACUUGAAAAAUAAAUUGCAUCAACCUGA